rnacentral:rRNA from 1 species
CCUACGGGUGGCAGCAGUGAGGAAUAUUGGUCAAUGGACGCAAGUCUGAACCAGCACUGCCGCGUGCAGGAAGACGGCUCUAUGAGUUGUAAACUGCUUUUGUACGAGGAUAAACGCAGAUACGCGUAUCUGUCUGAAAGUAUCGUACGAAUAAGGAUCGGCUAACUCCGUGCCAGCAGCCGCGGUAAUACGGAGGAUUCAAGCGUUAUCCGGAUUUAUUGGGUUUAAAGGGGGCGUAGGCGGUCGGAUAAGUUAGAGGUGAAAUCCCGAGGCCCAACUUCGGAAUUGCCUCGGAUACUGUGCGACUAGAGAGUAGUAGCGGUAGGCGGAAUGUAUGGUGUAGCGGGGAAAUGCUUAGAGAUCAUACAGAACACCGAUUGCGAAGGCAGCUUACCAGGCUACUUCUGACGUUGAGGCACGAAAGCGUGGGGAGCAAACAGGAUUAGAUACCCGUGUAGUC